AUUGAACGCUGGCGGCAGGCCUAACACAUGCAAGUCGAGCGGAUGAAGGGAGCUUGCUCCUGGAUUCAGCGGCGGACGGGUGAGUAAUGCCUAGGAAUCUGCCUGGAAGUGGGGGAUAACGUCCGGAAACGGGCGCUAAUACCGCAUACGCCCUGAGGGAGAAAGUGGGGGAUCUUCGGACCUCACGCUAUCAGAUGAGCCUAGGUCGGAUUAGCUAGUUGGUGGGGUAAAGGCCUACCAAGGCGACGAUCCGUAACUGGUCUGAGAGGAUGAUCAGUCACACUGGAACUGAGACACGGUCCAGACUCCUACGGGAGGCAGCAGUGGGGAAUAUUGGACAAUGGGCGAAAGCCUGAUCCAGCCAUGCCGCGUGUGUGAAGAAGGUCUUCGGAUUGUAAAGCACUUUAAGUUGGGAGGAAGGGCAGUAAGUUAAUACCUUGCUGUUUUGACGUUACCAACAGAAUAAGCACCGGCUAACUUCGUG
rnacentral:rRNA from 1 species